rnacentral:rRNA from 1 species
GCGUGAGUGAAGAAGGCCUUCGGGUUGUAAAGCUCUUUUGUCAGGGACGAUAAUGACGGUACCUGAAGAAUAAGCCCCGGCAAACUUCGUGCCAGCAGCCGCGGUAAUACGAAGGGGGCUAGCGUUGUUCGGAUUUACUGGGCGUAAAGCGCACGUAGGUGGACAGUUAAGUGAGGGGUGAAAUCCCGAGGCUCAACCUCGGAACUGCCUUUCAUACUGGCUGUCUUGAGUUCGGAAGAGGUGAGUGGAAUUCCAAGUGUAGAGGUGAAAUUCGU